GACGAACGCUGGCGGCGUGCCUAAUACAUGCAAGUAGAACGCACAGUUUAUACCGUAGCUUGCUCCACCAUAAACUGUGAGUUGCGAACGGGUGAGUAACGCGUAGGUAACCUGCCUGGUAGCGGGGGAUAACUAUUGGAAACGAUAGCUAAUAUCGCAUAAUAUUGAUUAUUGCAUGAUAAUUGAUUGAAAGAUGCUAUUGCAUCACUACCAGAUCGACCUUGGUGGUAUUAGCUAGUAGGUGAGGUAACGGCUCACCUAGGCGACGAGACAUAGCCGACCUGGAGGGGGGGUCGGCCACACUGGGACUGGGACACGGCCCAGACCCCUUCGGGGGGCAGCAGGAGGGGACCUUCGGCAAUGGACGGAAGUCUGACCGAGCAACGCCGGGGGAGGGAAGAAGGGUCUCGGAUCGGAAAGCUCUGUUGUAAGGGAAGAACGGGUGUGAGAGUGGAAAGUUCACACUGUGACGGUAUCUUACCAGAAAGGGACGGCUAACUACGUG
rnacentral:rRNA from 1 species